rnacentral:rRNA from 1 species
UCCUGGCUCAGAGCGAACGCUGGCGGCAGGCUUAACACAUGCAAGUCGAGCGGGCGUAGCAAUACGUCAGCGGCAGACGGGUGAGUAACGCGUGGGAACGUACCUUUGGUUCGGAACAACACAGGGAAACUUGUGCUAAUACCGGAUAGCCCUUACGGGGAAAGAUUUAUCGCCGAAAGAUCGGCCCGCGUCUGAUUAGCUAGUUGGUAGGGUAAUGGCCUACCAAGGCGACGAUCAGUAGCUGGUCUGAGAGGAUGAUCAGCCACAUUGGGACUGAGACACGGCCCAAACUCCUACGGGAGGCAGCAGUGGGGAAUAUUGGACAAUGGGGGCAACCCUGAUCCAGCCAUGCCGCGUGAGUGAUGAAGGCCCUAGGGUUGUAAAGCUCUUUUGUGCGGGAAGAUAAUGACGGUACCGCAAGAAUAAGCCCCGGCUAACUUCGUG